rnacentral:rRNA from 1 species
AUACGUAGGUGACAAGCGUUAUCCGGAUUUACUGGGCGUAAAGGGCGUGUAGGCGGUCUUGCAAGUCAGAAGUGAAAUUCCUGAGCUCAACUCGGGCGCUGCUUCUGAAACUGCAGGACUUGAGUGCUGGAGGGGAUAGCGGAAUUCCAUGUGUAGCGGUAAAAUGCGUAGAUAUAUGGAGGAACACCAGUGGCGAAGGCGGUAAACUGGCCUUUAACUGACGCGGAGGCUCGAAAUCGGGGGGAGAAAAGAGGUUUAGAUACCCAUGUAGUCCACGCCGUAAACGAUGGAUACUAAGUGUUGGAGAAAUUCAGUGCUGUAGUUAACGCAAUAAGUAUCCCGCCUGGGGAGUAUGCGCGCAAGCGUAAAACUCAAAUGAAUUGACGGGG